UCCCUGUGCUCCACAGUAGGUCUUUGUUGUUUAUUUAUUUUAUAUCUAGUAGUGAGUGUCUGUUAAUCCCCAAUUCCCAAUUUGUCCCUUCCCCUCUUUUCCUCUUUGGUAACCAUAAGUUUGUUUUCUAUGUCUGUGAGUCUAUUUCUAUUUUGUCAAUAAGUUCAUUUGUAUCAGUUUUUUAGA